rnacentral:rRNA from 1 species
UCUACGGGAGGCAGCAGUGAGGAAUAUUGGUCAAUGGCCGUAAGGCUGAACCAGCCAAGUCGCGGGAAGGAAGAAGGAUCUAUGGUUUGUAAACUUCUUGUAUAGGGGAAUAAAGGUAUCCACGUGUGGAUAUUUGCAUGUACCCUAUGAAUAAGCAUCGGCUAACUCCGUGCCAGCAGCCGCGGUAAUACGGAGGAUGCGAGCGUUAUCCGGAUUGAUUGGGUUUAAAGGGAGCGUAGGUUGUUUUUUAAGUCAGCGGUGAAAGUUUGGGGCUCAACCAUAGAAUUGCCGUUGACACUGGAAAGCUUGAGUGUGUUUGAGGUAGGCGGAAUGCGUGGUGUGGCGGUGAAAUGAAUAGAU